rnacentral:rRNA from 1 species
CAGCCGCCACGGUAAUACGAAGGGUGCAAGCGUUAAUCGGAAUUACUGGGCGUAAAGCGUGCGUAGGCGGUUUGUUAAGUCUGCUGUGAAAUCCCCGGGCUCAACCUGGGAAUGGCAGUGGAUACUGGCAAGCUAGAGUGUGUCAGAGGAUGGUGGAAUUCCCGGUGUAGCGGUGAAAUGCGUAGAGAUCGGGAGGAACAUCGGUGGCGAAGGCGGCCAUCUGGGACAACACUGACGCUGAGGCACGAAAGCGUGGGGAGCAAACAGGAUUAGAUACCCGUGUAGUCCCUGUCUCUUAUAC